rnacentral:lncRNA from 1 species
UGAGUUCUCUUAUGAACAAUCAGACAUGAGGCUGAGGUAGAGGCUUUCCCACACUCCUUACAUUCAUAGGGUUUUUCUCCAGUGUGGCUUCGCAGGUGUCUAUUGAGAUUUGAAGAUCGUCCAAAGGCUUUCCCACAAAUCUUACAUGGGUACGUUUUUAUGGUGUGCACUUGAGCAGACACAUCAUGAUCUGAGUGGGUGAGAUGUCCAGUGUUCCAUGCACUAUGAGUUUUCACAUGGGUCUUGAAAUAUGAGUGCUCACUGAAAAUUUCCCCACAUUGUGUGUAGUAGCAGAGUUCGUGUGCACUGUGGCUUCUG